rnacentral:rRNA from 1 species
AGAGUUUGAUCAUGGCUCAGAACGUACGCUGGCGGCACGCCUAACACAUGCAAGUCGAACGAAGUAGCAAUACUUAGUGGCAGACGGGUGAGUAACAUGUAGGUAUCUGCCCUUUGGCCUGGAAUAACACGAGGAAACUUGUGCUAAUACCGGAUAAGUCUUUACGGAGAAAGCUUUAUGCACCAUUGGAUGAGCCUGCACUUGAUUAGUUUGUUGGUAGGGUAAUGGCCUACCAAGACUAUGAUCAAUAGCUGAUUUGAGAGGAUGAUCAGCCACAUUGGGACUGAGACACGGCCCAAACUCCUACGGGAGGCAGCAGUGGGGAAUCUUGCACAAUGGAGGAAACUCUGAUGCAGCGAUGCCGCGUGAGUGAAGAAGGCCUUUGG